GCACAAGCGGUGGAGCAUGUGGUUUAAUUCGAUGCAACGCGAAGAACCUUACCUACUCUUGACAUCCAGAGAACUUAGCAGAGAUGGUUUGGUGCCUUCGGGAACUCUGAGACAGGUGCUGCAUGGCUGUCGUCAGCUCGUGUUGUGAAAUGUUGGGUUAAGUCCCGCAACGAGCGCAACCCUUAUCCUUUGUUGCCAGCGGUUAGGCCGGGAACUCAAAGGAGACUGCCAGUGAUAAACUGGAGGAAGGUGGGGAUGACGUCAAGUCAUCAUGGCCCUUACGAGUAGGGCUACACACGUGCUACAAUGGCGCAUACAAAGAGAAGCGACCUCGCGAGAGCAAGCGGACCUCAUAAAGUGCGUCGUAGUCCGGAUUGGAGUCUGCAACUCGACUCCAUGAAGUCGGAAUCGCUAGUAAUCGUAGAUCAGAAUGCUACGGUGAAUACGUUCCCGGGCCUUGUACACACCGCCCGUCACACCAUGGGAGUGGGUUGCAAAAGAAGUAGGUAGCUUAACCUUCGGGAGGGCGCUUACCACUUUGUGAUUCAUGACUGGGGUGAAGUCGUAACA
rnacentral:rRNA from 1 species